rnacentral:sRNA from 1 species
AUGCCUUACAGCUGGGUCUCAUGGAGGCAUUUCCUCAAGGGAGGCUCCUCUCUCUGUGAUAACUCCAGCUUAGGUCAAGUUGACGCACAGGGCCAGUCAGUAUUCAGCUUGGCUUGUCCAGUUGAUUCAGCCUAGGACCCUAGUCCGGGGAACGGUACCCACAGUCAGGGAGGGUUAGUUAACCCAAUCUGAAAGCAUCCUCACAGACAGACCCAGACGUUUGUUUUCAUCCUGAUCCUAAAUUCCAUCGUGUUGACAUUAAGUAUCACAAGGUCCUCCAGGAUCCUGAGGCAGGAGAUUACCUGGAGUAUCUAGGUGGGCUGGCUGGUACAAUUUCAGUAUGGACUGUCCUCCACAGGCCCAUACAUUACAGGUUUGGAGUCCGGCAUGGUGAACAUACUCUCAGCAUUCAGAAGACUGAGGCAGGAGGAUUUCACAUUCCAAACCGACCUGGGCUAGAGGUGACGUAUUCGUAUUGAGAUUGUCUCUCAAACCAAAUUCCGGUCCCCAGCCAAAGGCACUGUUGACAGUUGACAAAAUCUGCAAGGUGUGGACCCUAAGGGGAGCCUAGGGCUGGUCUUCUGGUCACCGGUGGGUGCGGGUGUGUGGAAUUGAUAAGGAACUUGGGUCCUUAGACCAGUUUUCUCUUUGACUUUUACUUCCUAGCUAUGCAGUGAGCCCUGAGAUUCCUGACUCCUGCCAUGGGGUGCCCAUUCUUCCCCCUGCCAUUGUGAUAAAAUAUGCCAGCAAAAACGCAAAUUAGAGGGGAAAGGGUUUAUUUUUGCUUGCAAUUCCAGUCAUAGUCCACCACACCAGAGGUGGCAGGAACUUACAACAGCUACUCACAUGACGUACACAGACAAGAGCAGGGAGAUAAUCACAUGCUUAUUACUUAGCUCAGUUUCCCCAGACCCAGGGAAUGGUGCCGCCCACGGUGGACAUGUCUUCCCACGUCAAUGUAAUCAAGACAAUCCCUACAGACCAACCUGAUCUAGACAAUGCCUUGUUGAGAUUCUCUUCCUAGUGAUUCUAGAGUUUGUCAAGUUUACAAUGAAAACUAGAGUCGAGGAAGAAGGCUUGACUGGUAAAAUAGAAAGAAAAAAAAAAAACCUCAAAAGGACCUGAGUUCAAUCCCCAGGACCCACAUGAUAGAAGACCUGACUUCUACAAGUUGUCCUCUGACCUCCAAACCCUCUACAAAUAAGUAAUUAUCAGAGGCAUUCUGUUGUGGAAAGAGAAGGCGGAGUAAUGAAGGCACCGUCACAAACGUCCUUGCGUCCUUGCAAGAGAAAAAUCAACAGAGACUUCUGUGUUCAUCGGAGGGGACAGGUGCAGACAGACGCAGAGAUUGGAGCAGUGCAGACAGAAGCCACGGGACACUUGGCGCCAGCAGAAGCCGGGAGGGGUAGGAUGGGAUUCUCUGAACCUUCUGAUGUGGGGGGAAUGGGCUAGCCCACCUUGAUUUGGGCCCAGUGAUACUGACCUUGGCUGUCUGGCUGUCAGAGCUGUGAGCUAACUCACUUCAGUGUUUAGUCACCAAGACAUCUGUGACAGCAACUAUCAGAAACACAGAAAACGGCUCCCCCAAGACCACACAGCCACGUUGGAGUAAAUACGGUGUUGGGUUGUGUACGUAGCAGGUGUUCAAUAAAGGCUAGCUAUCAUCA